CCUACGGGAGGCAGCAGUGAGGAAUAUUGGUCAAUGGACGAGAGUCUGAACCAGCCAAGUAGCGUGAAGGAUGACUGCCCUAUGGGUUGUAAACUUCUUUUAUAUGGGAAUAAAAUGUUCCACGUGUGGGAUUUUGUAUGUACCAUAUGAAUAAGGAUCGGCUAACUCCGUGCCAGCAGCCGCGGUAAUACGGAGGAACCGAGCGUUAUCCGGAUUUAUUGGGUUUAAAGGGAGCGUAGGUGGAUUGGUAAGUCAGUUGUGAAAGUUUGCGGCUCAACCGUGAAAUUGCAGUUGAAACUGGCGGUCUUGAGUACAGUAGAGGUGGGCGGAAUUCGUGGUGUAGCGGUGAAAUGCGUAGAUAUCACGAAGAACUCCGAUUGCGAAGGCAGCUCACUGGACUGCAACUGACACUGAGGCUCGAAAGUGUGGGUAUCAAACAGGAUUAGAUACCCGUGUAGUC
rnacentral:rRNA from 1 species